GAGUUUGAUCGUGGCUCAGGAUGAACGCUGGCGGCGUGCUUAACACAUGCAAGUCGAACGAACCUUCGGGUUAGUGGCGGACGGGUGAGUAACGCGUGAGAAUCUGCCCUCAGGAGGGGGAUAACGGUUGGAAACGACCGCUAAUACCCCAUAUGCCUACUGGUGAAAUGAAUUUCGCCUGAGGAUGAGCUCGCGUCUGAUUAGCUAGUUGGUGAGGUAAUGGCUCACCAAGGCUUCGAUCAGUAGCUGGUCUGAGAGGAUGAUCAGCCACACUGGGACUGAGACACGGCCCAGACUCCUACGGGAGGCAGCAGUGGGGAAUUUUCCGCAAUGGGCGAAAGCCUGACGGAGCAACGCCGCGUGAGGGACGAAGGCCUCUGGGCUGUAAACCUCUUUUCUCAAGGAAGAAGAUAUGACGGUACUUGAGGAAUAAGCCACGGCUAAUUCCGUGCCAGC
rnacentral:rRNA from 1 species